AAAAACCUCCUCCAAAACCUGAAGAUUUUGGUUCAUCACUGGAGUGAUGGGCUGGUGUUGGAUGUGCCCAGCAAUUUUGGGAAUGUCUGGUUUUCCUUGUGAUUGCAGCACCAAGGUUCUGACUCUGCUCCUUGGGAACCUUCCUCAUCCAGAUCACAGGGAUUUCCAAAAUUGCAGCAUUCCCUCAAAGCUGAAAAUAAAUCUCCAGAAAUCUCUUGGAAAACUGAAGAUGAAUCUCCAAAAACCUCCUCCAAAGCUGAUGAUCACUACCAUUACUGAGCGCAGGACAUGGAGGGUUCACCUCAGUGCCAGGAGCAGCCUCAUCCCUGCUUGUACAAAUUGACCUGCAGAUGAAUUAAAUCUCUUUUUUUCCCUGCUGUGACACCGUGACAGGGGUUAGAAAUCAACCCAGGUCUCUGAACCACAAGGAUUCUUUCACCCUCUCCAUUUCUCAACUGCUGGUAAUUACACUUAGAAAAGCUCUGGG
rnacentral:lncRNA from 1 species